rnacentral:sRNA from 1 species
AACAAGCCUGCGUUAAGGAUUGUAAUGGCAUCCUUUUUUGAGGUACGAUAAAAAGAUAUAAUGAAAAGCCUGACCCCGA